rnacentral:rRNA from 1 species
CAGCCGCCGCGGUAAUACGGAGGGCGCGAGCGUUGUCCGGAUUCACUGGGCGUAAAGCGGGUGUAGGCGGUCCCUUAAGUCUGAUGUGAAAGCCCACGGCUCAACCGUGGAGGGUCAUUGGAAACUGGGGGACUUGAGUGCAGAAGAGGAGAGCGGAAUUCCACGUGUAGCGGUGAAAUGCGUAGAGAUGUGGAGGAACACCAGUGGCGAAGGCGGCUCUCUGGUCUGUAACUGACGCUGAGGCGCGAAAGCGUGGGGAGCAAACAGGAUUAGAGACCCUGGUAGUCCACGCCGUAAACGAUGAGUGCUAAGUGUUAGAGGGGUUAAACCCUUUAGUGCUGUAGCUAACGCGUUAAGCACUCCGCCUGGGGAGUACGGCCGCAAGGUUGAAACUUAAAGGAAUUGGCGGG